GAGCGCCGGGUGACAACCGGGCACAAGGGAGAUGGUGGACGCAGCUGAUUUUCCCGGUUUCUGGCUGCGGCAACAACGAAUAGGUACGCGUCUACACCUAAUCCCUUCCCGGC
rnacentral:sRNA from 1 species